rnacentral:rRNA from 1 species
UACGUAGGGGGCUAGCGUUGUCCGGAUUUAUUGGGCGUAAAGCGCGUGUAGGCGGCUCGGUAAGUCUGCUGUGAAAGUCCAAGGCUCAACCUUGGAAAGCCGGUGGAUACUGUCGAGCUCGAGUCCGGAAGAGGCGAGUGGAAUUCCUGGUGUAGCGGUGAAAUGCGCAGAUAUCAGGAGGAACACCAAUGGCGAAGGCAGCUCGCUGGGACGGUACUGACGCUGAGACGCGAAAGCGUGGGGAGCAAACAGG